AUUUGUGUUUUUUUAUGCUUUUCGUGAAUACGCGCGCGGGCGCGCGUAUUCACGAAAAGCAUAAGAAUACACACAUC
rnacentral:pre_miRNA from 1 species